UACGAGGGGGGCAAGCGUUGUUCGGAUUUAUUGGGCGUAAAGGGUGCGUAGAUGGCCUGAUAAGUUAGCAGUGGGAAAUCGAGGCUCAACCUCGUGGAAGCUGGUAAUACUGUUAGGCUCGAGUGCAGGAGAAGUUAACGGAACUCCAUGUGGAGCGGUAAAAUGUGUAGAUAUAUGGAAGAACAUCAAUAACGGCGAAGGCAGUUAACUAUUCUGUUACUGACGUUGAGGCACGAAAGCGUGGGGAGCAAAACGG
rnacentral:rRNA from 1 species